rnacentral:tRNA from 1 species
GCGCGGUUAGCUCAGCGGUAGAGCACUACACUGACACUGUAGGGGUCGUGGGUUCAAACCCCGCACCGCGCACCA